AAUCAACGCUGGCGGCGUGCCUAACACAUGCAAGUCGCACGAGAAAGAGGGGGCAACCCCUUGAGUAAAGUGGCGUACGGGUGAGUAACACGUGACUAACCUACCUCCGAGUGGGGAAUAACUCCGGGAAACCGGGGCUAAUACCGCAUAACAUCUACGGAUCAAAGCAGUAAUGCGCUUGGAGAGGGGGUCGCGGCUGAUUAGCUAGUUGGUGAGGUAAUGGCUCACCAAGGCGACGAUCAGUAUCCGGCCUGAGAGGGCGCACGGACACACUGGAACUGAAACACGGUCCAGACUCCUACGGGAGGCAGCAGUGGGGAAGUUUGCGCAAUGGGGGAAACCCCUGACGCAGCAACGCCGCGUGGAGGAUGAAGUCUUUGAUUGUAAACUCCUUUCGAUCGGGACGAUUA
rnacentral:rRNA from 1 species